GACGAACGCUGGCGGCGUGCCUAAUACAUGCAAGUAGAACGCACAGUUUAUACCGUAGCUUGCUACACCAUAGACUGUGAGUUGCGAACGGGUGAGUAACGCGUAGGUAACCUGCCUGGUAGCGGGGGAUAACUAUUGGAAACGAUAGCUAAUACCGCAUAAUAUUGAUUAUUGCAUGAUAAUUGAUUGAAAGAUGCUAUUGCAUCACUACCAGAUGGACCUGCGUUGUAUUAGCUAGUAGGUGAGGUAACGGCUCACCUAGGCGACGAUACAUAGCCGACCUGAGAGGUUGAUCGGCCACUCUGGGACUGAGACACGGCCCAGACUCCUACGGGAGGCAGCAGUAGGGAAUCUUCGGCAAUGGACGAAAGUCUGACCGAGCAACGCCGCGUGAGUGAAGAAGGUUUUCGGAUCGUAAAGCUCUGUUGUAAGAGAAGAACGGGUGUGAGAGUGGAAAGUUCACACUGUGACGGUAUCUUACCAGAAAGGGACGGCUAACUACGUG
rnacentral:rRNA from 1 species